rnacentral:rRNA from 1 species
AGCGAACGCUGGCGGCGUGCCUAACACAUGCAAGUCGAACGUGAAAAGGGAAACCUGAGUAAAGUGGCGUACGGGUGAGUAACGCGUAGGUAAUCUACCCCAGAAUCUGGAAUAACCUGCCGAAAGGCGGGCUAAUACUGGAUAGAGCGAGGGAACUCGUAAGAGAGUUUUUCGGGAAAGGGAGCCCGCAAGGGCCUUCGUUCUGGGAUGAGCCUGCGUCUCAUUAGCUAGUUGGUAAGGUAACGGCUUACCAAGGCGAUGAUGAGUAGCUGGUCUGAGAGGAAGAUCAGCCACACUGGAACUGAAACACGGUCCAGACUCCUACGGGAGGCAGCAGUGGGGAAUCUUGCGCAAUGGACGAAAGUCUGACGCAGCCACGCCGCGUGAGUGAAGAAGGCCUUCGGGUUGUAAAGCUCUGUCGGAUGGGACGAACAUCUUCAUAGUGAAUAGCUAUGAGGACUGACGGUACCAUCAAAGGAAGCACCGGCUAACUCCGUG